GCUCAGUUGGUUAAGUGUCCGACUCUUGAUUUUGGUUCAGGUCGUGAUCUCGCGGUUAGUGGGUUUGAGCCCCACACUGGGCU
rfam:Felis catus isolate Cinnamon breed Abyssinian chromosome A3, whole genome shotgun sequence.